CCGUCCUCGAGCCCCACAUUCCCUCCCCUCCCCUUUAGCUUCGUCGCCGCCGCCUCUCCCUGCUCUCCAGUCUCCACCACCACCACGCCCCUUGCUUCCCCUUCGCUUUUAUCCUCCUCUCGAUCCGACGCUGGCACACACAGUGGUUAUGGAUGGGCCGCUGGUUGCCUUCAUGGGAGAGUGCGGCGUUGAGGUCUUCAGCGUGGGUGUGGAGGAGCGGGAAGAGGUGAGGAGGAUGACAACGUGGGAAAAAAGCAGCCAGAUCGAAGCUCUCGUCGCCGCUCGCGUUGCCAUGGAGUGGAGGGUCGCCGUUGGCCGCAUCACAAACAAGCGAGGACGAGGACAACGCCUGGAUUCGGCGAUGGCAUCAUAAGAGGCCUGGGCCUCCUCCACGGACAAGGUGGCGGCGCACUUGGCGGCGGCGAUCUGAGCACCAGUUCAAGUACUCUGUCGGCUGUGGCUGGAACACCUGGCAUCACUGCCAUCAAAACGCCAUUGCCAAAUGCCUCUGAAAUUAAUUAUAAGCAAGAGUGGUACGGCUUGCACAAUGUGGCAUUUUAGCCGAUAAAAGUCAUUCGUGUUUUAGACACAAAAGAAAAAGAUUGAGGCUGAGGCACCAACCACAAGCGGUGCCACAAAAACAUGGACAGGGGAACACUCGAGCGCAUGCCGCGCCCAACUAGAGCAGAGCGGCAAAAGAGAGAAACAAACUUGAGGGAAAAAUCCAUUAACUACUGUAUAUACCGGAAUCAUCACAAACGGUCAGCACAAUAUUAUAUAUACUGUUUUCCCCUAAGGAAGAACUUGUUCAUAUCUGUAGCAGCAGCAAACAUGGAGUGGUUAAUGGAGAAGAGUAGCUUCACCACUAAUAAUUGAUUUUUCAGAAGAAUGAAGAGAAGCUAAACUUUCAGUGAAUGUGUGUUAACACUUUCAGUUUUCUUAACAAAAGCUUCAGGCUUCUGCAGUUUUCAUUCUUCACGGCCCAGAGGUUACAGAGGUCAGAUGAUGUGUGCAAGGAAGGAAAGAUGCAGACAAGCAACGCCGAAGACGUCUUCCAAGCGCUUGAUGAGAUUGAGUUCCCAGAGUUGGUAGAGCCCCUGAGGACUGCAUUGGAUGAAGCAAAAAAGGCAGCCUGGAGCAAAACAGAGGAAACUAGAUAAAGAGCCAAUGCUGCAGAGCAAAAUGAUUGAGCAAACGAAGCCAACGCGGACGACGAUUAACUGCUCUAACCUUGUGAAUGACACAAUCAACCCAACUGUUACCUUUGGGGUGCUUUUUGGAUGGACUAAUCUGAAGAUGUUGGCUAGCUUGCACCGCCAUCAUAUAAUCUAGAAGCAAGGGCAAGGAUUAUAGGGAAAAUAAAGGUACAAUGCUCCCAGUAUAUUUUACUUUUCGGCAAAGUUUUGGUGCUUGCGCAAGAAAGUAACACCAUCAUUAUAGGCUCAUUUUAUUUUAUCUUAGUUCAUGCACUAAUGCAUAAAUCUUUUGGUAUUGCCCUUAUUAUUUAGUCUAGAGCUAUGCAAUGAAAACCAUGGCUUUAGUGUUCAGGUGAGUUCCAUUUAUAGAGUGAAGAACCCUUGGCAUCUUAUCUAAAUUCUUUGAUCCUAGAUAUUAUGUAUACCCAGUUAAGUACCUUAUACCAGUACCUUAAUUAGCCUCUUCUGACUAUUGAUUGUUUGAACUGUUGUAGUAGGACUAAGACUUUCAAUGUUAUUAGGCUUGUGGACAUGUUUUUAUUUUAGAUUGUACAGUAUUGGGUUCUUUUGGCUUCUGGUUGCUGCUGCACAAGAAGUACACUAAACUCAUAUGAUGCAUGAAAAAAACUGCAGACCUAACAUAGUUUUUGUAUUCUGAUUUUUUUGUGAUGCCCUUAUGUUAAAAUGCUUAUUUGUUCUCCAAGUAGGCCAACGACGGCUGCUAGCAAUGAUACAUACAUAUCAACAAUUCCAAGGAAGUGCAUAUGUCAGUAUGCAUAGCGUAAUAUAUAUGUUCAUUGGAAAAUACUCUUCAGCAUCUGAAACAUCUAAAGGCGAUCACUCAACUACGUAUUAUAUACAAUAUACCCCGCUCGCAGUCCCAGCCACUAAUUAGUACUCCAAUGUUGCAUCACUCAUCUAAGUAUCAACACUACUCUUGAGACAUGCCUAUUAACAUAGUAGUGCUAGGUCCUCGUUGUUUGUUCUUACUCUCUGUUUUAUGAGUCUUUGGUUUCUCUUUAUUCACAUUUCGUUUUCUAUUUUCAUUAUCACUCUGUAUUAAUUUGGUAUCUUUGUUUAGUCUCCACCCUCUUUCUUCCAUACUCUCUCUGUUCGAAAAAGCUUGUCCCUCAAAUGAAUGUAUCUAGCAUCAAAUUAGUGCUAGAUACAUCCAUUUGAGAGACAAGCUUGGGACAAACUUUUUCGGACGGAGGGAGUACCUCUUUUUUCAUUUGUAUGUCUAUGGUAAGAAUGAAAGGCUAGAUAAACAAACAGGAAAAUGCUCACUUCAUUCAGGGGAUGCAUUCCGUCAUUGUCCAUCAACAAGUUCAACUCCGACGAUGGUUCACCGAUGUGGGCCGAUGCACCACAUCAGCAACGUCAAUGGCCUGAUAGGCCAUUUUCCAACUGGGCCUGUUGUAAAUGACGAAACCAUGAGGAUGUAAUCAGUAAUGUUGCUCCUGAUAUAGUUAUUUAGUGAAGUUAUAAGCUUCUCCUUUUGGAGUUUACUUCUACGAGUGAUCAGUCCCUGCAUCUUGUUCUAUUUUUCAGAAAACGAAGAUGUACUUUGCCAUGCCGCUACUCUCGGCAAAAUAGUAGAUCAUGGCGCCCCUUGUGCUACAGUGGAAUUGAAUCACAAAAAUUCUACAGAUUCAUCAAACACCGAAGGAGGUUAGUUUUUACCUGAGCAGCAACGGCGACCGCCGUGGGCUUGCUGGAGCCUCCCUUGCCGUGGAAAGUAACUAGCUUCAGGGAGUGCCAGGCUGCCACACAGCCAGAACAAAUGCCACCUUCGGCAGGGAGCGGCAACAACAACUAUGAGGAUUUGGCUCGCCGAUUUGAGUGACAGUGGCGCCAUCUGCUGAUUCCGCAGCUUCAAGCUAUAGCGGGAGCUGCUGGACCGCCAAGAUGCAGUUGGAGCUGCUGGACCACCGAGAUGCAGUUGGAGCUGCUGCGCCUCCGAGCUGCCGGACCACCGAGAUGCAGUUGGAGCCGCAGCGCCUCUGAGCUGCAGCCGGAGCCACUCCCCUGCCAAGCUGCAGCGUGAUCCGCCGCGCGCGAAGAUGGAGCCCAGCGUGAGCCGCCUCUAGCAGGUGCUUUCUCGAGUACAGUGGGGAGAGGAAGAGGAUGAACUGGUCGAUGGAAAAGGACAACAAUCCACCACAUGGUUAUCUCUGGCGUUAUAUGUCAUAUGUGCAACCCGUGUGUAUAGGUGUCCAGACUCCAGAGUGUGUGGCUCUUUGUGACAAUGGCACGGUUGUAAUAUUAUCUUUGAUGCUAACUUGUACUUUAUGUAAUUGGUAUAAUCUGUAUUGUUUUGUCA